AUGAAGAACCCUGUUCUCCUCUCUGCAGCCCUGCUGCUGCUGUUUUUUGUUGGGACAUCAGCUCAGGGUAACACUAACUUCAGAGUGCAGGUGAAUGUGCCACCCAGUGACAUUAAGACCUACAACACUUCUACUGCUUAUAGAGGAAGCCUCUUCGGUGGACUGACGAGACUGAAAUACUCAAACCAAGGCUUCAACUUUCAGUACAUACCAUAUGACGACUAUGGACCAUUCCUUCAGAGUGUAAAUGGUUUGGCAGGAAAUUCAUCAUACUACUGGCAACUGCUGAGUGGUAAAACCCCACUUAAUGUUGGUAUGGGAUGUUACCUUCCAACAGCAAAUGAAGUCGUCACCCUGAAAUACACGAAAAUUUAAGACCAUCUAAAGUCUUAUUGUUACUUAUGGUCAACCAAUACACUUUGAUCUUUGGCAAGUUGAGGUGAAUAAUUGACUUGUUGUGUCAUUUUUUUGCUUGGGAGUCUUUUAAUCAUAAAUCAGUAGCCUAUCACUGUCUUAGAUUCUUUUACUGGGUUUCUGUCAGACUUUAUGAAUUAAGAUUACAGCGUUAAUCUACAAUUCUGCCACAGUGUAGUAAUCUGAAGUAAGAGAAAACUCCAUCAGUCACAAGAGCAAUCAGUAAAACAUAUACAACACAACAACUUGAACUGUUUUUUAAUUUACUGCCUUUAUGGCAACUUUUAUUGUGUUUGAGAGUAAUUAAUAGUUUCUCAACUUGCCCCUGAGUGUCAUAAUUUUACAUUCAAAUUUCAUUUUUUGAGAGCUACAAGUGCUCUCAGUUUUACUCUAAAAAGAUGGUGUGGUUAUACAGUAGACUGCCCAGAGACUGCUGGCCAGCAAAAACAGCAAGGUGGGUCAGCUGCUGACUCCAUGUCAAAAUAGCUUCUUUAUCCUGCAAAUCAAGUUAUCAACAGCUUGCGAGUCAAAAGGCUUCUGAGAUUGACUGGGCUGCUGACCUCCACCUGGACACCAGCAGGUCUCAAGAUCAGCUGUGAAAUUAAAGCUAUUUUUAUACUUUUGGGGCUCCUAGAGGGGUGUGAGAGGGGCAAAAUAAGAUCAAAUUCAUUGUUGAAUCAUUUUUGUAUUAGUGCAUUUUUAUUGUUUAUUAAAAUGUUACUGAUUAUUAGUGUUAUCUUUUGCAGGCAUUAAAUAAAGCAUGUAACUUGUAGUCAAAGUAAAAUGUUUCUAGCCUUGGUUUGUUUUAUUUUUAGACAAGGUGUAUUUAAAAUGUUGUUAGCAUGUCCACCAUCAUGUAUCUUAAGACAAAGAAAGGUCUAGACCAAGGGUGUCAAAAAUAAGGCCAGAGGCCAGAAACGGCCCGUCAAAGACUCCAUUCCAACCCUCUGGAAGGCUCUGGAAAAUGUAAGGGAGAGCAUGGAUUUUGAACUUCUAACUGUAUUUUCAUAAGUUUAAAGCUUUUCCUAUUAAUAAAGAGCCCGCCUCAUUUAUACUACAGCAAAGUAAUUAAUAGAUAAACAAUUAAAUGACAGAAAUUUCUCUACUAUAUAAAUUUACAGUGGAUUUACAGGAGAAAGUAUCUUUUCUUUGAAUGAAUCAAAAAUGUAUAUUUUAGAAUUAUGGGAUAGUCUUGGUAAUUAAUUACUUUUUGUGUAAUUUUACACAUUUAUCAUGUAAAUUCACUGGUCUGGCCUACUUAGGAUCAAAGUAGCUUGUAAGUGGCCCACGAUGUAAAAUGAGUUUUACAUCCCUGGUUUAAACUGCAAAAUUAACAUUUAGUUUACAGUAAAAGUAUUCUGACAACUAGCAACAAAGCUAAGGAGCUACUAAGAACUGUUACAUUUGGGAGAGAACUUUCAUUAGCCAAAUGUUUGUAUAUAUAUUCUUGGGGCAGGUUAACAUUGUGUCUAUGAAAAGGUAGCAGUGGAGACUUUGGCAAGACGAUCAUUAGCAGCUGCACAAAUGUCUUUGACCUCAGAUUAAUUCAUGGACUGCUCAGCAUCUGGAAAACACCCCCAACAAUCAGUGGCGUGUCUAGAAAAUUUUUGUUGGGGGGGCCAGGUAGGGGCACAGAUUUGGAGAAGGGUGGAAGAUGUAAUUGGCAGAUAAUGUUAAAAAAAAAUUCUACCAACCGUUAACCAUAAUUCAAUAACCCUAUAAACCUAAUAACCGAAUGCACUUUUAACUCUUAUUAGAAUGAGAUUUUAACCACUACGGUGCAAAGUUUUUAGAUAUUGCGUUGAUAAAGUACAAGGGAUACAAUCAGUGCUUUGUCAGUGUUUAUUCAGCAUUCAAGGACAGCAAUAUUUGCAUAGUAUUUUUACUGACAUAUAGUGCAGAUAUGUUUUGGGCAAAAACAUUUUUGAAUAUUAAAAUACAAACAUUUUUAACAUACAAUUGGCAAAUUAGCCAAUGCAAAACUUUAUCUGCCUAUUAAAAAAAGAAGAUAAUCUUCUCACAAACUGGUGUUUGAUUUUGAAACAGGAAAAAAGUGGGGAAACAAAUGAAAAGAUUAACAUUUGAAUGAAACCUGAAAGCAAGUAAAUACUUUCUAUGCUGCCUUAUGAUAAACUUUGGUAAUACUGAUGUAUAAAGAACAACACUGGCUGAUGAUGAAAUACAGUCAGCUGGCAUGGUGACACUGCCAGUAUUAACCUGCAGGGCUGCACUGGGACAAAAAAUUGGGCAUUUUGACUAGAGACCGGCGGGCGACAUCCGCUGGUUUCCUCUUUCUGGCGCAAAGUGGGCGAUAAACAAACAAGGGAGAAAAGCCGAUCAGCUGAUCAUUGAUCAGUUUCAUGAUUGAAGUAGAAACAGGAGAGGGAGGGGGGAGACUGAGAGAAGAAGAGGCAGCUGUGCAGCGUAAAGACAGAAUAACUCCAGCUUUGUCUUUUUUUCAUUCUAGCUGAAGUCCGGGACAAACUACGUCUCUCUCAGCUCAAUACGAAAUGUGUAAUAUUUUCUCUGAAUGAGGGACCAUUCCAUUUUUUUAAGGAGCCGCUGACAACUCUACUAACUAACCUUAUGAAUAAAAUAAAGUUCACUAUCAGUAACAUCAUAGCAUCCACCCAGCUGUAUAGAAACUCUGUCAUGCUAGCUAGUACGCAGUACGAGUUAUUGUAACUGACUGUAAAAAGUCAGCACAACGAAAAUAAACUCCACCUAAACUUGGUUUAUAUCUGACCCAGAUAGACUGCAGGUCAUAACUUCUUACCUGAAAUUUAGUUCACCUGACACUCGGACUGGCGGCUGCCUCGGAUCUCUCCUUCUCCUGCCUCCCCUUCCCUCAUCCACCUGCUGGCCUCCAUGCAAGCUCCGCCAUAGCCACCACCAAACAACUGAGUUAUUUUUACACAUCGGCCAGCAUCUGGCCUAUCCACCACCUCUCAUUGUUCAUGCCGUUACAAAUAAAAGAAAUAAAUAAGUCAUCAGCCCACCGGGCAAAUACCCAGGUAUGCUCGAUGGCCAGUCCAGCUAUGUUAACCUGUUAAUCUUUUGCUGAAAAACUGUUUUCUGAGGUGCUGUCUUUGGUGCUUGGCUCUCCUACCUUUGCUAACAUGAUGCUCAUAGCGCAGAAGCCGAUGCUGCAUUCACUUACACUCGGAUAUCUGACCUUCACUGUGAAAACAUAAUCGUACAUUUGAUAUUUCAUUGAAUUUUAUUGUUUUAGCUUCGGGGUGGCCAGUCUGCUUGGGGGGGGUGUUCCCUGUGCCCCCCCAGGCCACCCUGCUGGACGCGCCACAGCCAACAAUCAAACAGCCCCAUAUGAACAAGCACUUUGCUACAAUGGGGUGGAAAAAACUCUGACAGAACCAUGUUAAGGAUGGGCCAGCCAUCUCCCCUAACCAUUUGGAGGAUGAGGGGAAAGAGAAAAAAAGAAGAGAAGAAAGAACAAAAGACACAAUAUGGGAGAGGGAAGACAAAAUUUAAUGAUAUAGUAAAGCAUGCAAUAGACUGGUCUACUGUGUCCAUUUCAUGCUUUGCCUCUCCAAAGCGUGAAAUUGACACACAUGCAAAAGUUGCAGUACUAGCAUAUUAUAUUUGAAGUCAACAAGUUGCUAAUGAGCAAGGAAGGUUAGAGAAUUGGCAAAGACAGCUGGACCAGGUAAGGGCUUUUUAACUAAUAGGAAUAGGAAGAUGUCUUAG
rnacentral:lncRNA from 1 species